CUGAGAGACACUCAACACUGAUUUAAAGAAGCUCAGCUGAUAAACUCCAGCUUCAACAGCACCUGUGACCUCAGGGAUUCUGUGACAGUAUGGAUUUUUUCAAAACGGUGGGUGCCGUGGCCUCGGGCUUGGCGGAGGGGACGGUGGGCAUGGUCAGAGCUGUGGUGGACGUCCCAGUGGGGAUGGUGAAAGGAGCCACUGACAGCAUUAUAGAAGCCAGCAGUAAACUCAACAGCGCCAACUCACCCGGUGAAGGAGUGGAUGCCGUCUUUAGUCUGCUGACGUCUCCAGUGACUGGCGCGGUGGCCGGAGGAACCAAAGAGAUCGUCAAAGCACCUGGAAAACUUGUGCAGAGUGUGACUGAAGGCGUUACAAAAGUUUUAGAUGACUAGGAAGAAUUAACAAUUUUAAAAGCAUGUAAUCACAUAAAAGCACAUUAACCUUGCAGUAACCUUUGAUCUUAGAAUCAUCAAAAAAAAAAAAAAUGUGAUGUGAAAAAUAAUUUAUACACUCACAGGUUUGAUGGUGUCUACAAAUUACUUAAUGUAUUAUCAUAAAUCAGCACUGAUCAUUUCACAUUUAUGAAAGUUAUGCUAAUUAAACUUUGUCACACAUUU